rnacentral:tRNA from 1 species
GGUCUUGUAGCUCAGUUGGAUAGAGCAACAGCCUUCUAAGCUGUGGGUCAGGCGUUCGAGUCGCCUCAAGAUCACCA